CACGCGGUAAACGAUGAUCACUCGCUGUUAGCGAUACACAGUUAGCGGCUAAGCAAAAGCAUUAAGUGAUCCACCUGGGGAGUACGGCCGCAAGGCUGAAACUCAAAGGAAUUGACGGGGGCCCGCACAAGCGGAGGAACAUGUGGUUUAAUUCGAUGAUACGCGAGGAACCUUACCUGGGCUUAAAUGUAGAGUGCAUGGGGUAGAAAUAUCCCUUUCCUUCGGGACUCUUUGCAAGGUGCUGCAUGGUUGUCGUCAGCUCGUGCCGUGAGGUGUCGGGUUAAGUCCCAUAACGAGCGCAACCCUUAUCGUUAGUUGCCAGCGGGUAAUGCCGGGAACUCUAACGAAACUGCCGGUGUAAACCGU
rnacentral:rRNA from 1 species